rnacentral:other from 1 species
CCAAUCCUGAUGUGUACGUUGUUCGAAUGUACGUUUUGACCGAACAUUUUUGAGACGGGAGCUUGGAGUUUCCGCAUGGAAUGCAAGCCUCAUUACUAUAAUGAGAGGACGCAAGAAGUGCGGAGCAGGGCACCCACCUGCCUGGAGCGGGUUCAAAACUCAUGAUACAACGGCACAAUUGGGAUUGGU